GAUGAAGAACGCAGCGAAAUGCGAUAAGUAAUGCGAAUUGCAGAAUUCAGUGAGUCAUCGAAUCUUUGAACGCACAUUGCGCCCUGUGGUAUUCCGCAGGGCAUGCCUGUUCGAGCGUCAUUUCAACCCUCAAGCUCUGCUUGGUGUUGGGCCCUGCCCGCUGCGGCCGGCCCUAAAGACAGUGGCGGUGCCGCCUGGCCCUGAGCGUAGUACAUCUCUCGCUCCAGUGCCCGGUGGUAGCCUGCCAGAACCCCAACUCUCGUGGUUGACCUCGGAUCAGGUAGGGAUACCCGCUGAACUUAAGCAUAUCAUAAGCGGAGGA
rnacentral:misc_RNA from 1 species